rnacentral:rRNA from 1 species
CCCUUAGACGUUCUGGGCCGCGCGCGCGCUACACUGACGAAGGCAACGAGCUUUCCUUUACCGAAAGGUACGGGUAAUCUUUUGAAACUUCGUCGUGCUGGGGAUAGAUCCUUGCAAUUUUUGAUCUUAAACGAGGAAUUCCUAGUAAGCGCAAGUCAUCAACUUGCGUUGAUUACGUCCCUGCCCUUUGUACACACCGCCCGUCGCUACUACCGAUUGAAUGGUUUAGUGAGGCCUUCGGAUCCGCGACUCGUUUUGUGGAGAAGUUGGACAAACUCAGUCAUUUAGAGGAAGUAAAAGUCGUAACA